GUUGAACGCUGGCGGAAUGCUUUACACAUGCAAGUCGAACGGUAGAGGGGGCAACCCCUCGAGAGUGGCGAACGGGUGAGUAAUAUAGCGGAACGUGCCCAGCCGUGGGGGAUAACGUAGCGAAAGUUACGCUAAUACCGCAUACGAUCUACGGAUGAAAGCGGGGGAUCGCAAGAACUCGCGCGAUUGGAGCGGGCGAUAUCAGACUAGGUAGUUGGUGGGGUAAAGGCUGACCAAGCCAACGAUCUGUAGCUGGUCUGAGAGGACGACCAGCCACACUGGAACUGAGACGCGGUCAAGACUCCUACGGGAGGCAGCAGUGGGGAAUUUUGGACAAUGGACGCAAGUCUGAUCCAGCCAUUCCGCGUGCAGGAUGAAGGCCCUCGGGUUGUAAACUGCUUUUGUACGGAACGAAAAGGUUUCCAUUAAUACUGGGAGCUCAUGACGGUACCGUAAGAAUAAGCACCGGCUAACUACGUGCCAGCCGCCGCUGUAA
rnacentral:rRNA from 1 species